GAAGGCAGGUCUCUGGGCAUUAACUGACGCUGAGGAGCGAAAGCAUGGGGAGCGAACAGGAUUAGAUACCCUGGUAGUCCAUGCCGUAAACGUUGGGCACUAGGUGUGGGGGACAUUCCACGUUUUCCGCGCCGUAGCUAACGCAUUAAGUGCCCCGCCUGGGGAGUACGGCCGCAAGGCUAAAACUCAAAGGAAUUGACGGGGGCCCGCACAAGCGGCGGAGCAUGCGGAUUAAUUCGAUGCAACGCGAAGAACCUUACCAAGGCUUGACAUGUGCCAGACCGCCGUGGAAACACGGUUUCCCCUUUGGGGCUGGUUCACAGGUGGUGCAUGGUUGUCGUCAGCUCGUGUCGUGAGAUGUUGGGUUAAGUCCCGCAACGAGCGCAACCCUCGUUCUAUGUUGCCAGCGGGUAAAGGCGGGGACUCAUAGGAGACUGCCGGGGUCAACUCGGAGGAAGGUGGGGACGACGUCAAAUCAUCAUGCCCCUUAUGUCUUGGGCUUCACGCAUGCUACAAUGGCCGGUACAAUGGGUUGCGAUACUGUGAGGUGGAGCUAAUCCCAAAAAGCCGGUCUCAGUUCGGAUUGGGGUCUGCAACUCGACCCCAUGAAGUCGGAGUCGCUAGUAAUCGCAGAUCAGCAACGCUGCGGUGAAUACGUUCCCGGGCCUUGUACACACCGCCCGUCAAGUCACGAAAGUUGGUAACACCCGAAGCC
rnacentral:rRNA from 1 species